AUUGAACGCUGGCGGCAGGCUUAACACAUGCAAGUCGAACGGUAACAUAAAGAAGCUUGCUUCUUUGAUGACGAGUGGCGGACGGGUGAGUAAUGCUUGGGAAUCUAGCUUAUGGAGGGGGAUAACUACGGGAAACUGUAGCUAAUACCGCGUAAUAUCGAAAGAUUAAAGUGUGGGACCUUCGGGCCACAUGCCAUAGGAUGAGCCCAAGUGGGAUUAGGUAGUUGGUGAGGUAAAGGCUCACCAAGCCGACGAUCUCUAGCUGGUCUGAGAGGAUGACCAGCCACACUGGGACUGAGACACGGCCCAGACUCCUACGGGAGGCAGCAGUGGGGGAUAUUGCACAAUGGAGGAAACUCUGAUGCAGCGACGCCGCGUGAGUGAAGAAGUAUUUCGGUAUGUAAAGCUCUAUCAGCAGGGAAGAAAAUGACGGUACCUGACUAAGAAGCCCCGGCUAACUACGUG
rnacentral:rRNA from 1 species